UUAAAUUGAAGAGUUUGAUCAUGGCUCAGAUUGAACGCUGGCGGCAGGCCUAACACUUGCAAGUCGAGCGGCAG
rnacentral:rRNA from 1 species